rnacentral:rRNA from 1 species
UACGUAGGGUGCGAGCGUUGUCCGGAAUUAUUGGGCGUAAAGGGCUCGUAGGCGGUUUGUCGCGUCGGGAGUGAAAACUCAGGGCUUAACCCUGAGCCUGCUUCCGAUACGGGCAGACUAGAGGUAUGCAGGGGGAGAACGGAAUUCCUGGUGUAGCGGUGGAAUGCGCAGAUAUCAGGAGGAACACCGGUGGCGAAGGCGGGU